ACAACAAUCUCGGCCCUUUGGCUAAGAUCAAGUGUAGCAUCUGUUCUUAACAGUUUAAUAUCUGAUGCGUCCCCUACUUGGGGGCCAAAUAUUAAAUUGAUUUUUGGUACAAGGAGAUGGAACAGGGGCUUGUCCCUUCCACUCCACGCAUCAACCUGGUAUCUGCGGUGUCUCCAGGGAAAUAAAGAAAAAUAA